AUUGAACGCUGGCGGCAGGCCUAACACAUGCAAGUCGAACGAGUGGCGGACGGGUGAGUAAUGUCUGGGAAACUUCCUGAUGGAGGGGGAUAACUACUGGAAACGGUAGCUAAUACCGCAUACCAUCGGAUGUGCCCAUAUGGGAUUAGCUAGUAGGUGGGGUACAGGCUCACCUAGGCGACGAUCCCUAGCUUGUCUGAGAGGAUGACCAGCCACACUGGAACUGAGACACGGUCCAGACUAGUACGGUAGGCAGCAGUGGGGAAUAUUGCACAAGGGGUGAAAGACUGAUGCAGCUAUGCCGCGUGUAGGAAGAAGGCCUUCGGGUGGGAAAGUACUUUCAGCGGGGAGGCGUUACCCGCAGAAGAAGCACCGGCUAACUCCGUGCCAGCAGCCGCGGUAAUAC
rnacentral:rRNA from 1 species